rnacentral:rRNA from 1 species
GACGAACGCUGGCGGCGUGCUUAACACAUGCAAGUCGAACGAUGAACUGGAGCUUGCUCCAGGGAUUAGUGGCGAACGGGUGAGUAACACGUGAGUAACCUGCCCUUGACUCUGGGAUAAGCGCUAGAAAUGGCGUCUAAUACCGGAUACGAGCUUCAGCCGCAUGGCUAGGAGUUGGAAAGAAUUUUGGUCAAGGAUGGACUCGCGGCCUAUCAGCUAGUUGGUGAGGUAAUGGCUCACCAAGGCGACGACGGGUAGCCGGCCUGAGAGGGUGACCGGCCACACUGGGACUGAGACACGGCCCAGACUCCUACGGGAGGCAGCAGUGGGGAAUAUUGCACAAUGGGCGAAAGCCUGAUGCAGCAACGCCGCGUGAGGGAUGACGGCCUUCGGGUUGUAAACCUCUUUUAGUAGGGAAGAAGCGAAAGUGACGGUACCUGCAGAAAAAGCACCGGCUAACUACGUGCCAGCAGCCGCGGUAAUACGUAGGGUGCAAGCGUUGUCCGGAAUUAUUGGGCGUAAAGAGCUCGUAGGCGGUUUGUCGCGUCUGCUGUGAAAUCUGGGGGCUCAACCCCCAGCCUGCAGUGGGUACGGGCAGACUAGAGUGCGGUAGGGGAGAUUGGAAUUCCUGGUGUAGCGGUGGAAUGCGCAGAUAUCAGGAGGAACACCGAUGGCGAAGGCAGAUCUCUGGGCCGUAACUGACGCUGAGGAGCGAAAGCAUGGGGAGCGAACAGGAUUAGAUACCCUGGUAGUCCAUGCCGUAAACGUUGGGAACUAGAUGUGGGGGCCAUUCCACGGUCUCCGUGUCGCAGCUAACGCAUUAAGUUCCCCGCCUGGGGAGUACGGCCGCAAGGCUA